rfam:Cylindrobasidium torrendii FP15055 ss-10 unplaced genomic scaffold CYLTOscaffold_443, whole genome shotgun sequence.
GACCCCUUAGCUCAGUGGUAGAGCGUGUGAUUCCAGCUUUCCUGGCACAUCCACAAGGUCGUCCGUUCAAUCCGGGCAGGGGUCA